rnacentral:SRP_RNA from 2 species
UCUCGGGCUCCGUGCGAUCCGGAUCCGCAAACCCCGCCAGGUUCGGAAGAAAGCAACGGUAGUGGACUCCCGGAGGUGCCGCGGAAAAACCCGGGGCCU